rnacentral:rRNA from 1 species
GAUGAACGCUAGCUACAGGCUUAACACAUGCAAGUCGAGGGGCAGCAUGAUUGAAGCUUGCUUCAAUCGAUGGCGACCGGCGCACGUGUGAGUAACACGUAUCCAACCUGCCGAUAACUCGGGUAUAGCCUUUCGAAAGAAAGAUUAAUACCCGAUAGUAUAGUAUUUCCGCAUGGUUUCACUAUUAAAGAACUUCGGUUAUCGAUGGGGAUGCGUUCCAUGAGAUAGUUGGCGGGGUAACGGCCCACCAAGUCAACGAUGGAUAGGGGUUCUGAGAGGAAGGUCCCCCACAUUGGAACUGAGACACGGUCCAAACUCAUACGGGAGGCAGCAGUGAGGAAUAUUGGUCAAUGGACGAGAGUCUGAACCAGCCAAGUAGCGUGAAGGAUGACUGCCCUAUGGGUUGUAAACUUCUUUUAUAAGGGAAUAAAGUGGAGUAUGCAUACUCCUUUGUAUGUACCGUAUGAAUAAGGAUCGGCUAACUCCGUG